rnacentral:lncRNA from 1 species
AGGCGAUAACGUGGCUGUUUUCCACUCCGCCUGUCUGCGUGGUUCCGUGGUGACCUCUGAGCAGACAACAGCACAAAGGCAUCCCGCGGCUCGACGCGAGAGCCCCACAGACCUCCCACACUAGCCCUGUAUCUUUCCUCCUUCCUGGGGAGCUCUGGACCCGGGCUUUGAGAGGGCAAGUGCUCUCACUGGGAGGGGGAACUCUGCCUUCCUCCUGCUGCAGCCACCCAUGGGUGUCUCCCUGGGCUGUGCCCUGGGACAGGACUUCCCUGAGGAGGGAUCCACCCUUUUCUGAAGUCACACCUUGUGAAGAAGUGGAGUCGUGGGGAAGGUUGUGACAAGCGGGCACAGGGCGAUCUAAGGCAGGGUAGGAUCGUCUAGUGACCCCAGCUGAGACCGUGACAUGGUGUGCCAAGUGCUGUACACACAUCACACGGGGAGCUGCAAGCACAGCCAAGGACACCGUACCUCGAAGUAGACUCAUAAACAACCACUGUUUCUUUCACCUGCUUUUACAUUCUUGCAAAUCCAUUGACUCCUGUUAAGAUGCUCCUGACUUUCCUCAACUUUGAACGGGGAUAAGCCGGAGGAAAAUGUUAUUGGCGUCCUCACUUUAUAUGAGAACGGAGCAAGGAAAAGGUAAGCUACUCGUCUAAAGCCGCAGGAGUAAUCUAUGGAAAAGAUGGCAUUGACUCCAGCUACAGUGUAUUAAUUGCAUAGGCCUUUUUUCCUCCUGCCAGAAA